GACGAACGCUGGCGGCGUGCCUAAUACAUGCAAGUUGAGCGCUGAAGGUUUGUUCUUGUCCCAACUUGAUGUGCAGCUAACGUGUGUUUAACGCGUGUUUCAUCUGCCUUUUAGCGUGGGACAACAUUUUGAAACUAAUUCUAAUACCGCAUAAAAACUUUAAACACCAUUUUUCUUUUUUAAAUAUUCCAUUUCUUCACUCAAAGAUUUUCCCGCGUUUUAUUGGCUAGUUGGUGAGGUAAAGGCUCACCAAGGCGAUGAUACAUAGCCGACCUGAGAGGGUGAUCGGCCAAAAUGGGAGGGAGACAAGGCACAAAAUGCUACGGGAGGCAGCAGUAGGGAAUCUUCGGAAAAGGAAGAAAGUCGGAACGAGAAAAGCCGAGUGAGUGAAGAAGGGUGUAGGAUCGUAAAACUCUGUUGGUAGAGAAGAAAGUAGGUGAGAGUGGAAAGAUCAUAAAGUGACGGUAACGAAAAAGAAAGGGACGGCUAACUACGUG
rnacentral:rRNA from 1 species